GGAACUUAAACACAAAGCUCAUACUCCUCUCUUCUCUCCCUGCUGUUGCGUUAUAGGGUGAUCCUGGAGAGUGAUCCUCAGCAGGUGGUUCACCGGGUGGCACUGCGGGGUGAUGAUGUGCCUCUCACAGAACAGACGGUUACUCAGGUUCUCCAGUCAGCAAAAGAGCAGAUCAAGUGGUCUCUGUUGCGAUAGGCUGAACAGGUGGAUGCCAGGCGACGGAAGAAGAAUUGGAGGCAUCUUCAGAAUUCCACUCCACUGCAGACGUUUCUUCUCCGCGAACGGAGUGCUGUUUUCUCUGUGCUGCUCAGAGACUGCUUGCACCAGUUUCUAAUACUGCAAUGGAGUUCAUAUGAUGCUUGCGGAAAGCACCACAGGCUCGUAAUUUCUUGGACCUGAAUCAAUCAUUCCAAUUGUGUGUGUGUGUAUGUGUGUGUGUGUGAGAGUUUAUGUAAAUGCAUGCACAACUGCAAGUAAAUGUUUGACAACGGAUCACCCACUUAAAGUUUAAAGCUGUGGAAUGAUGCCCUGGACUGUAUUGUCCAUUCCACAGGCCACAGGACUGUAUCUACUUCCAAGACCGUUAUAUUUUGAUAAAAAUUAAACAAGUUGUUUCUGUC